UCCCUCUAUAAAAACUCCCUAGCCGGCCACCUCCACUCCUCUUGCUCUCAUUUUUCUUCUCUCCACUCACUCCUCCACCUUAUCUACUCCCUCACACUCUUCUCCUACUCUCCCCCACGAAAAUGCUGCUCCACCUAGCUCCCAUGGCCGGCCAUGGCCAUGGAAAGAACUCCAAGAUGAAGCUCCCUCCUCCCUCAAGCUCCUCCUCACCAUGAGAGCCUCCCUCUCCUUCUUCUCCCCAACCCUAGAUGGUUUUCUCUCCUCUUCCUCUUCCUCCAUUGCUAAGAUUGGAUCUUGAUGCAGGUGCAUGUUGGUCCAAGCAUGGAGAAGCUUGAGCAAUCCUCAGAUCUGAAGUUCUUGAGCAAAAUCCAAAUCGAGUGAUUCAAAGUUCUGCGGAUAGGUAUUCAAAAGAUCUACAACUUGGCGUUGGUCUCAUCCUCAAAUUCGCUACAGAUUCUCCCUGAUCAAGAUCUGGACAGAUCUGGCUUUGUCGAAUUAAACCAGGAGCUUGGGAACGAAUUUUUGAAUGAAACAAAUUGGGGGAUACUUAGUUGUGCCAUGGUGAUACCUAGAGAGGUAAUUGCUAAGUCGUGGCACUCUCAUACCUUUACUAGAUGCGAACAAUUUUGGAGGAGAAGAAGAAGAAGUGGAAUCGGACAAGGAUUUUAUUUGUACUGUGGGAAUUCUUAUUUGAUGGAGUUGAAGAAGUCCAGGGACAAAUAAGCCAAGGCAAGCCAUCUUUUGAUCUCUGAUAUGAUGUCUCUUUGGAUGUCAUCUUGUGCUAUCAAUAGCAUCUUGGUUCUAUGUGUGAUGAUCUCCAUAUUGUUGUCAUCUAUGCUUGGAUGCAAGCAUGGUACCUCUAGUAGUUUUAUCUUGUCAAGGUCUUGGUAAUUGGUUGGGUGUAUGGUAUCAUGGCCAUUGCUAUCCAACUUGCUUUCUAUAUUUAGCUUGAAUAUGUUCCACCUCGGGACAAGAUUCAUACUACACCCCCUUCUAGUGUAGUUGUAUCAAUACCAUGUUUUUGGUGUAUUCUCAAAUUGUGAUGAGUAUGCCUGUUUUCCCUUAAUGGUGUUGGUGUUGGUCAAUUCUCAUCCCUAUCUAUCUAUUGAUUGGGUUAGAUAGCACCACAAAUCUGAAAGUAUAUUUCCUCUUGUGUUAUCAUAAUACAUGCUUAGCUCAAGCAAGUAUGAUCCACUCCAAUACCUCUUUUUCAUACCCUCAAUGGCGUGAUGACCCUCAUCUCGGCCAUAGUGUUGUAUUAGUUCAACUCAUGAAACUUUAGAUUGGGAAACCCUCAAGGUUUACCUUGUUGUAAAUGUUUAUGAAAACCUUGGGUGAGGCAAUCUUACCCAAGCGUAUGGUUUAUGAAAGGAAAGGAUCUUGACAAAGAUGGUUGGAAAGAGGAAGGUGUGUGUGACUUGGGUUUUUGAGAAAAACGACACAUGGUUCUUUGUAUUCGCCCGGAACAACUAAACAGCGCAACCAUAGCUACUCCAACGUGGGCAUGGGGCUUAACUUGACGUUUGUUCUUCUUAGCAUGAGGCACCGCACAACUAUACAAGGGUACGGUUACCCCCGAGUCCGGGUUGUCAUGGUUGGGACAAUAGUAUAACGGGAGGCCUUCGGGGCUGACCCGUCCGGAAGACACUAUGGGUCUCCUGGCUUGGCGGUGGAGCCACGCUCUAGAGGAGGUGAGCUGCCACGGUGCCGGGGAGGUACAUACUCCAUAGGGUAGGAUCUCGUGUUAAGUCGAAUGGGCGAAAGGUUAUGUCCGGGUAUCCGUCGUGGCAUAUGUCGUUAUGCGGGGAUGAUGCCCACACGAUAGGUAUCCGGAUAGUUGUGGUGAAAGUGUGCAAACUCUGCAGAGUCAAAACUAUUCGAAUAGCCGCGUCCGCGGUCAUGGACGGUUGGGAUGGCCGUUACAGAGCUGUGUCGAGUUUUGGUUUAGAAAAUGAUUUCCAAAGGAAAUGUGUGUGUUGGAUGUACCGGAAGGGUACGGAAAGGCUGGUGCCGACCAUAUGGAGAUGGUCGAGGAAAAUGAAACAAAAUUGGGUGACCCUUCCUAGUGUUUCAUGUAGAGGGACUCUUCUUCAAUAAAGAUAUAGAGAUGUCGUAGUUUAUCUUUUGAAGUAUCUUCUUCAACAAAGAUAUAGAGAUGUCAUAGGACUUCCCUAGUAUCCCCAUCAAUUGAGAUGGCGGUAUGCUACCUCUUCUUUAACAAAGGUAUAGAGAUGUCAUAGGACUCCCUUAGUGUCCCCAUCACUCGAGAUACCGGGAUGCUAUAUCCACAAGAGAAACUAUUUCUCUUCCACAUGCUAUAUCCACAAGAGAAACUAUUUCUCUUCCACAUGCUACAUCCACGAGAGAAACUAUUUUUCCUCUCUUGUCUUCUCUAGUUAGAAUUUUUAUCACCUUCUUGAUGGUUUGCGAGUACAAUUCCAAAUGUACUCACGGCUUUGUCCCUGGCUAUUUACUUGGCCAGACUUGAAGGAGUUUGACAGAUGAAGAAGGAGUUGACGACGUCUAUGGGAGCUAGGAACGUCUUCCCAGUCAGUUGCCUGUAGGGUUAUGGCAGAGGACUUGGGCACUGCGCUGCUGAAGUGAUGAUGCUACUCUGAUGUUUAGUUAGGCCCUUCGAGGCUAUUAUGUAAGUAUUGGUCAUGUGACCAUGUUGUAAUUUUCUUAUUCCGCUUUGUAAUGGAUGGUGUAAUUUGAUAUCAGUUCGGUUAUGUGUUCACG